GUUUUGUCCUGUCAGCAUGUUGUACAGAGGUUGUGUGAUGGUUUCGUCCUGUCAGCAUGUUGUACAGAGGUUGUGUGAUGGUCAGCAUGUUGUAGAGGUUGUGUGAUGG